UACGUAGGGUGCGAGCGUUAAUCGGAAUUACUGGGCGUAAAGCGUGCGCAGGCGGUUCGUUGUGUCGGUGGUGAAAGCCCCGGGCUUAACCUGGGAAUGGCCAUGGAAACUGGCGAACUGGAGUGUGGCAGAGGGGGGUGGAAUUCCACGUGUAGCAGUGAAAUGCGUAGAGAUGUGGAGGAAUACCGAUGGCGAAGGCAGCCCCCUGGGCCAAUACUGACGCUCAUGCACGAAAGCGUGGGGAGCAAACAGG
rnacentral:rRNA from 1 species